GUCUCCCGACAUUCACCCUGGUACCACACCACUUGAUCUCCAGAGCAAUCUGGCCCUUCAUGCUUCUAUCUGUGAAAUGGGGAGAACAGCCCUUUGCACGUUGAGAUACUCAGGAGGGAUCAAGAGAACGAGUGAUGUGUGUUGAAUGGGAGGUGGAGCUACUUGCAGAAUUUUAACCAAGUUGAAAUUACCCCUGUGAUGGCCGGAUGAACUGUGAAGUCCCCAAGCCUGCCUGAAUCAGGACGUGUCUUUCCACCCAGACUCUAGACUGUGUUAAGCAGUUAAGGAGAUUGACAUUUGAAAGGAUGUUAUGUUGGAUUCACUAUUUGGAUCAGCAAAAAACAAAAACAGAAAACAAAAACACAAAAAGAAAAAAAAAAACCUCCAGUGCAAUACAGAUAUUUUUAGAAACUAUACCGAGGGUCGUGUUGUUGGUCACAUACAGGCCAUGUCCACUGUAGCAGAAUGUCCAUAGGUUAGCCCAUUUUAGGUUGUCCAGGAAGCCCAGGGACUAACGUGAAUGGUGACAGUCACAACUGCACUGCUUCUUUUGCUGCCCUCUUUGCUUUUCUAUGGUAAUUUAGAACAGACGGGAGGGAGGACCACUUGAAGGAAGCUGGAGAGUCAGAGCCUAUCUGUGGGCUCUCACUGCACCUACUUCCUGUACUUAGAGAGAGUGUGUGUAUUUAAAAGAAGAAUAAAUGACAAUCAAACCAAAACAUCCCAUAUCCAUGUCGAUUUAAUUGUGUAUCCCGAUAGCCAUCAGGGCCACAGACAGUAGCCCAGUUCGAGAUAGUUCGUUGUGUAGCGUGUGUGUGCAAAUUGAAACCCUGGCCACUGAGAAGGAACACGGAUGUAAAACAAAUGUGUCGUUGAAGCAUCACAUUGUAUGUGCCUGUAUGUGCAUGUAUGUCUUAGUCUUAGGUGUUCAGGUAAAUGCAUCACUUUGAUUGGGCUGUAUUCCAUUGUCCUUAAUCCAAUAUAGACAGCGUCCUGGGCAACUGUCUACAGAGCCAGGGAGGGCACAAUCUGAAGUAACUUUCUGAAGAACUUAAGUGGAUAACAGAAAAGUUUAAUUCUCCAAAUUGCUUAUCGAAAUGGCUGCGUGAUCUGAAUCCAGUUAACAUCUUGUUGGACACUGGUCUAUAAAAAGAAUUAAAGGUUGGGUCCAGUUGAGCAGUCUUGGGAGUCACACUGAAUCUGUGUGUAGAGAGAUAUCUGGAUAGUCAGACUUCAUAUGCAUACAGAAUGUCUCUGCUGGCAGUAGACCCUGAGUUGAGGCUAGCUCUGCUGGCAGUAGACCCUGAGUUGAGGCUAGCUCUUUUCAAUCUGCAGCUCAUGCUAGCUCAGAUGGGUUAGGGACAGAGCAGGAAAAAAAUAAUAAUUUUUUCAUCACGUGACUCCCCCAACACCCUUUUUUUUUUUUUUUCCUUUUUUCUUUUUGGAAAGCAUUGGAAAGCCAUCUGAAAUAUUUCAGGGGAGAUGAAAUUAGUGGAAGGGUUUAAUACGCGAUUACAAGUCCAAACAGUGUCCUACUUCACCAAGUGUGAAAAUGCUUUAGUAUUACUCCCAGGUAGGACUUUGUCCCUGUGAUUUCUGGGUGUCUGACUGGAACAAUUGGUGCGUGUUAAUACACACACUGAGGCUGCCCUUUUCCCAGGCUCUUCUCACUGCUGCUUGGCUGUGAGGGGCCCUUUGGUUCACCCUGGGGUCCCAGUAACAUUCAGAUGACAGUGUCUCUUUCCCUUUGCAUUGAGAUUCAUGCAGCCUGAAUGGCUCAUUACGUGGCCAUCUGAUGGCUGAAAGAGGGUUUUUUUUUUUUACCGUGUGAUGAAAGGCUUGGGAGGCUUUUUAUUUUAAUUAUACUUUAACCAAAGAGUUGUUUUAAAGUAACCUUAUAUUUGAAAGAUGAUUUUGCAAAUAAAGAAAU
rnacentral:lncRNA from 1 species